rnacentral:sRNA from 1 species
GUGUCUCCUACGGAUCCCUUCUGAGGCUGCUGGUGUCCUUGUUUUGGGUGGGUGUCACAGGUGCCCGGCCUGUGCCCUGAUGAUUUCCUGACACCACCCCUUGCAGCAGGAUGAUUAUUUCAGAAACUGGAAUCCCAACAAGCCCUUUGACCAAGCCCUGGACCCAUCCAAGGACCCCUGCCUGAAGGUAAAAUGCAGCCCUCACAAAGUGUGUGUGACCCAGGACUACCAGACCGCCCUGUGUGUCAGCCGCAAGCACCUGCUCCCCAGGCAAAAGAAGGGGAACAUGGCCCACAAACACUGGGUUGGACCUUCGAAUUUGGUCAAGUGCAAGCCCUGUCCCGUGGCACAGUCAGCCAUGGUCUGCGGCUCAGAUGGCCACUCCUACACAUCCAAG